rnacentral:miRNA from 10 species
AAAUGAAUUCAUAGUUGUUUGUAUUAGGUUGGUGCAAAAGUAAUUGCAGUUUUUGCCAUUAAAAGUAAUUGCAAAUAUAGCAAUUACUUUUGUACCAACCUAAUAACUAACACCACUGUCUGAUAAAGU